CUGAUCCCACUGGUUCAGAAGAUCUAGGGUACCUGAUGGGUUCUGGAAUUCCUGGUUGGAUGAAGGACUGUAGGCGCAGAGCCUUGAUGCGAGAAGGCAUCAAGACAUCGGGCCAUUAAACAGGUAGGGUAUGGAGAGGACCCAGGGACAGAACUCAAACCUUCCAUCUGGGGCAUCAUCGGGGAAAGAUACUGUUCCACAGUGUUAAAACUCAAAGACCACUGCAAAGUGGGAGAAAAACAGAAUUCUGAGGCUGGAAUAGACAAGGCAGAAGAAUUCAAUGCUGUGCCACAUUCCAGUUAAACAAAUUCUGACCUCACAAAAGGAAAUCAAGAUCUAGGUUCCAAGUGUGAAGAAAAGGCUUCCCUGGGGUUGGUGUGUGCUAGCCAGGAGAUCAGUAUGGUGGGUCUUGUGGGGUGUGAGAACUGGCAAGGGGAACCCCAUCUCAGAUGACAGCACACAGAAACUGGCUUGGAGACCUCCUUCAGGCACAUACCUGCUGCACAAAGAUCACCAGACAGUAGGAGUGGAGACAGGAAAAGACAUUUGCAUCUCAGGGUUGGAGACAGAAGAGGGGGUUGUUUGUUGAUAUUUCCUGCUCUAGCUCUCCUGUUCUUGAACCAAAUUGGAAGAACUCAAGGACUAUGAUGUUGGAUUCACCCAGGGAUCCAUGGAAUCAAAGGUGUUAAUGGGGUUGUCAUGAUGGGCAUCCAUGGACAAGAAACACUCAUGUAUUUAUACCACCAUGGGAGAGGCAGAGACUAACUCUCGGACAGCUCAGAAUUGCUUACAUGAAUCCAGCCCAGUGUGAUGAGGCCCUGCUGAUCCUGUAUGAGGAAAAGUUCUUCUUCGUUCUCUGUGUUGCAGUAAUCAGACCCAGCACUUUGCUUGGGGAUGAGAACAUGGGUAAUGGUAAAU
rnacentral:lncRNA from 1 species